rnacentral:rRNA from 1 species
UACAGAGGUCCCAAGCGUUUGUUCGGAUUCGCUGGGCGUAAAGGGUGCGUAGGCGGUCGGGUAAGUCUGACGUGAAAUCUUCAAGCUCAACUUGGAAACUGCGUCGGAUACUAUUCGGCUAGAGGAAUGGAGGGGAGACUGGAAUACUUGGUGUAGCAGUGAAAUGCGUAGAUAUCAAGUGGAACACCAGUGGCGAAGGCGAGUCUCUGGACAUUUCCUGACGCUGAGGCACGAAAGCCAGGGGAGCAAACGGG